GAGGGAGGGAUGGGAGACGAUGGUGGCAGUGUUGGGGUGUUAAAAUAAUCUUUAGUGUUUUAAUAGGAAUUAGAUUACUAGCAGAAUCAAAGGAGAAGAAGAGAGAGGGUAUAAAAAUAUUAAGAAUCUCUAGUAUUUCAAUAGGAGUGAGAUCGCCAACGGAAUUAAAGGAGAAUAUAAAUUCCGUGUUUGUUGGAAUUCUUAUUUUCUUAUUUAUUUAGAUCUUGAAAAUAUUAGACAAUUUAACUCACUGUUUAACUAUUCUCUUAAAAGAUAAGAUGUCUCAAGAAGAAAGUGAAUUGGAACAUUGUUUAUUGUCCAGGAAGGGGAUUGUGAUCCUCUUCAACAAUUCUCCCUCCAAUGAUUCUCCAAUCAAAUAUAUAUCCUUAGAUGUUAGGUUGUGUAUGUAUAUGAUCGAAGAGAAACAGAUACAACAGUCAACAACGAACAAGCCUAAACCGGCUGAACAAGGGCAAAGGCCUUAGACCGCCUCACCGAUCAGAACAGACGGGGGAUAAAACAAGCCAACCUUAUACAUAAGGAACCCGGUAAACCCAAUCUUGAUGGGGAAAAAUCGUCUGUGGAGCCGAGAUCUGGAGUAAACUGGUGGCGAAGAUUUUAGCCGGUGACAUGUGGCGCUCGCAGAUCCAACAGUUGAGGACGAAUAUUAAUUUAGGUCUCAAAAGCGCCGUCGUAUAUGCCGGAUCCGCCUUCGAAGACGAGAACACUAUCCGAUUGGUAUCUGACGGCGUCCUACACUUCCAAUUCUCCCUCCUCCGCACAGCCGGCGACACUCGACACUCUAUCUCCUUCGCUCGUUUUGCCUGGAGGUUUGUUGGUUUCUUGCUACUUCCUCAUUUCCACUAUUUUUACUUCUAUAUCGGUAAUCAAAACAUCUGUUAAUUAUGGGUUAAAUUGGAGGUGUGGUGUGGUUGUUUUGUUGGAAUGAUUUAUGCAUGGGAAGAGGUAAGAAACGGCGGAUGAGACAAAGCUUCGUUUUAGGAUUUUUGCCGAGAACCUCGUCUUCGUGGUAGCCAUUAAGGUAUUUCUCAACCCAGACGAUACUUUCCAAGAUUUUGACCUGUUUGUUGAAAUGCUCAAUAACAUUGCCCAUAUUCUCUUUAGUUCAUUUCUGUAGAAAAAAUUGGUAUAAAAGUUGCAAAAAUGGAGAAACCUAGCUUUCAUUCCGGUCUUUCUCUCAGCUUAGAAUUCAUUGUCUGUGGUUGAGUAGAACCCAACAAACCCAGGGGAUUAACAUGUGGGUAAAUUGUAAGACCAGAAGCACCAAACUUCCCCAGUCCUUUCACUGACUGAAAUUAUUCGUAGUUUGGUUGGAUUUUUUUAGUAGGCCCCAAAGAGAGUUGAAUACAUGUCCUCUAAAUUCUGAGGUGUUACUCUUGCGGACUGAGCUAUCCCUUGGGGUUUUAGAUAUUUCCAUGGUUCAUCAUCCUUUGUUUCUAAUAUUACCCUUAUUGGUUAGGGUUAUGUAAUAAAGAAACAAGUGAAUACAAUAAAAUGUUAAGGACGACCAAAAAAAGGUUCCAUUGGAAAUUCAGCAAAACUUCAUAUUUUGGUUUUUAAAAUGAAUACACAUUUUGGAGAUAGUGAAAAACCUUGAUAAGACUAUGGGACCAACUGAAGGGGUUUGAGAGAACACUACCUGAUAGAGCACGUAAACAUCUGUGCCCAUGGCCAAUGGGAGGGUACGCACUAGCAACUUCAGCGUAUGGCAGUGCGAUCUUUUUGCACUCGAUGUGUCUUGGCAUAGGUACAAUCCAUUGGGUAGCUUUCCUUCUUCCAAAAAAUCCUAAAAUUGACAUAAGUCGCCCUAAAAUCGUAGGCUAGAAUUAGGCUCUGGUCCAGCCAAUUCCAUCCAAUUUUUUUCCGAUUCCACUCAAAUCCUUGAACCUUGAAUCUAUAAGCCUACAACUAAGCUUAGGUUACAAAAUACAUGAAGAAAA